GCGCGCCGAGCCCCGCCGCCGGCGGCCGCGUUGCAGCCGCUCUUCCGGACACUGCGGCUGCGCGCCGUCCAGCCUGGCCCGUCCGCUCCCCGCUCGGCGGCCGGAGAUGACGCGGCUCGUCUUCCCCCGCGCUCUCGGCGGCCUCACCGCCCGACGCCCUCACUGCCCGCCGCGCAGCGGGAGAGAAGGGCCGGCCCCGCGGGUGGCGCGGGCGGCCAGCGGACUCAGGGCAGUGGGGACCGGCGGGCGGGCGGGAGUCAGCGCGGCAGACUCGGUGCCUCAGGGCGGCGGAAGUCAGCGUGGCGGGCACCCGGGCGGGCGGGCGCCGCCUCCAGAGCUGGGAGACGCUCGGCCUCUCUGACCCAGUGACCCCACUCCAGGAAACGGAGCCUAAGAAACCAACGCACCGGGUCAAACGCUGGGAGCAGGAACAGGGUCGGGAGACUCGUGUGGGAAGAGGUAAGCGAACUGUCAGGCGCUGGGGAAGCGACAGAACGGACGGCGUUCUGGAAUGCUACCCCCGCCCCUGCGGCCACGUGGCAGCGGGUCUGCGCAGGAGACCGGAAGGGAAAAGGCCAAAGGCAGCACUGCGCCAGGGUGGUGCGAUUACGCUUCAAACCCUUGUUAAAAGAAGUCGUCCCAUAAAAAGCUCCCGCAGCGCUACCGGCCACGCGCCGCGGCCCGGGGACAGCGCUGCUCCCUGGCCCGCCCGCCCAGACGACGAGGCGCGGCGUCCGCAUCCGCCGGCGGUCUGGCCUGGCACCCGGCACCCGGCAAGCACCGAGAGGAUGGAAACGCUGGGGCCCGUCGCGGGGGCGCCGGAGAGUCCCGACACCGCCUGGAGAGGGGAAUGAGCUCUGGCCGUCCGGCGGACCGCGCUCCUCUGCCUCGGGGCGGAAGGUGGAGCUCCGCAGCCGCCCCUCCCACGCCUCGACCCGCAGAGCGCCGGCUCAGAUGCGGUCCACUCACAGCAGAGUGGACGAAGCAUUAAUUCACCACCACGCUAAUUUGCAAAUGAUUAACACCACCUGACUGCCCCCGGCACGCCCAAGCCGACCGAAUGCAGCCCGCUAGACGAGCUCCUAGAACGACAGGGAAAGGAACGGCGCCCAGGCGCAGACCUCUGCGCCCCGCCUCUGGCUCGCUUCCUGUCGCGGGCGCCCUGAGGGACGGCCACCCGGAGAACCCAAAUGUCCAGGUUCCACUUCUGGCCCGACGCCCAGCCGGCCCAGCUAGGAACGUACAAGUAACGGAUCUCGACGAUUCCUUCACCUUCUAAGAUGCUCGUAUGCUUCCCCACUGUUAAAACCCACUCUGCCUUUAUCUGAGGAAAAGCAACAUGGCAUUAAUUAAAGCCACAGGGACAGAGACGCGGUCCUUUCCAAGAGGCAAAGGACGGAAGCGUGCAGCAGCCAGCACAGACCCCGUCUGCGGAGGAGGGACGAGCUGACAGUGGGCCCAACACGACCACACACUGUCCAGACCCACAGGAUGGGACAUCCCAUACAGAGAAUGAACUUCAGAGUGUGCCAAGGAUGUCGGAGUGCCAGGACAGAAUGCAGACUGACGGCGUAUUGUGCUGUAUGAUAAAAUGUCUGGAACGACCCCACUGAGCGGGCAGGGGAGCUGCCCUACGUAACUCUGGAAAACAGGGUUUGGAGUAGAAGCAGUGCCAUCUGAGGACAGACGCUGAACUCUCCUCGGUAAUCUGUGUCUCACAAGGGUACAGGGGUGCGGGGGGACAACACUGAACCACGUCACACGUGUAAGGCUGGAGUAAACCGAUGAGCCGGGCAUCUCGUCAUUGGACGGGGUUACAAAUUCACAAAGGGAGGCGGCCAGCCUGACCUGUGGUGCUGAGUUGGCCAUAGAGACGUCUGCAAGAAUUGGCAUGUAGGGGACAACACAGCAGCCACUAGAGGUGGAGUUUGUUCCCACCACAUCGCUUGACUAAAAGACCACUUCCAGAGAACCAAACAACAAAGGGGACAGCAGUCACGUCACAGAGCAGACGCCCAGCAGACACCACCAUGGGACAGUAUGACAAGAUGGGCACUGUACCUCUGGGGUGUUCUCCCCAAAUCACGAGAACACAUCAGAGAGCCCAAAUUGGAGGCAAGCCUACAAAAUACCUGAUCAGGACUCCAAAAGUGUCGAGGUCACCAGAGACAAGCAGAGGCUGAGGAGCUGUCCCAGACCACAGGGGACUAGGGAAACGAGAUGCCUUAGGGUGAGCGGGUACCCUGGAUUGGGUUCUGGAGCUGAAGAGGACACUGAUGAGAAACAGAUGAAUGAAGCAUAUAAUGCAGUGAAUGGUACUGUACCAAUGCCAAUGUCUUAGUUUUGAUAAUUGUACCAGCUCAGAGGAUGUUAACACACAUGGAAGCGAGUGAAGAAUAUUUGGGAACUUUCUGUACCAUCUCUGCAACUUUUCUAAAAACCUAAAAUUAUUCCAAAGUAAGAAGAUUAUUUUAAAAAUAAAGAAUUCAACAGUCGACAAGCCUCCAGCAAAAAGACUAUUCUAAGCUACUUCAUCAGGCAAAUGAAGCACUGACAGGUCCGAACUGCAAAGUCUCCAGGAGCCUGUGACAUGAAAAAACAGCUCUCCCCAGACAGUCAGCAGAGGGCAGCAGGAAAGCCCAGCACAGAUGGGACUGGGUUAACUAUAAACCUAACAAUGAAUGAAGCAAGCCCAACAACCAAGAACAUCUGUGAGAGGCCCAGCAAACAAGUCCUCCAGACUCACGGCCAGGAGCCUGAGAGUCGGAGCGGAGGGCUGGAGCGGGUAACUCCAUGCAAGGUUUGGGGGGGACAGGAAGGAGGUCUGGGUUGCAUCAAAAUAGGACUUGAGAGGCAGUUAUUUGAUGAAAAAUAAAAAUUAAAUGCCAGAGGUUAUGCUUACGGGAAGCGGGUCUGAAAGGGCGUCAGCCGUGGUCCUCCUCUGAGGGUGUCCUGUCUUCUGAUUAGAAGGCCUUUGGUCCCUCGGUUCCAUUUUUCUAAUCUACUCUCACCAACUCCUGGGCCUUCGAGCUCCUGGGUCAGACUAGGCACUGUACAAAGACACUGGUAUGUCUAGUUCUUAAUUCUAAUUUUAGAAGUGAGUAAAAACGAUUAAAUACAA